UUGAUUACGUCCCUGCCCUUUGUACACACCGCCCGUCGCUGCCCGGGACUGAGCCAUUUCAAGAAAACCGGGGAUUGAUGGCCUAACGGCUCCAUACGGGGCCCGCUGGCCGUUGAAAACCGGCUUAAUUGCAAUGGUUUGAACCGGGCAAAAGUCGUAACAAGGUAGCUGUAGGUGAACCUGCUGCUGGAUCAUUAC
rnacentral:rRNA from 1 species